AUUGAACGCUGGCGGCAUGCCUAACACAUGCAAGUCGAACGAGUGGCGGACGGGUGAGUAAUGUCUGGGAAACUGCCCGAUGGAGGGGGAUAACUACUGGAAACGGUAGCUAAUACCGCAUACCAUCGGAUGUGCCCAGAGUGGAUUAGCUAGUCGGUGGGGUAAAGGCUCACCUAGGCGACGAUCCCUAGCUGGUCUGCGAGGAUGACCAGCCACACUGGAACUGAGACACGGUCCAGACUCCUACGGGAGGCAGCAGUGGGGAAUAUUGCACAAUGGGCGCAAGCCUGAUGCAGCCAUGCCGCGUGUAUGAAGAAGGCGUUCGGGUUGUAAAGUUCUUUCAGCGAGGAGGCGUUACUCGCAGAGAAAGCACCGGCUAACUCCGUGCCAGCAGCCGCGGUAAUAC
rnacentral:rRNA from 1 species